CAGCAGCCACGGUAAUACCGAGGGUGCGAGCGUUAAUCGGAAUUACUGGGCGUAAAGCGUGCGCAGGCGGUUAUAUAAGACAGAUGUGAAAUCCCCGGGCUCAACCUGGGAACUGCAUUUGUGACUGUAUAGCUAGAGUACGGCAGAGGGGGAUGGAAUUCCGCGUGUAGCAGUGAAAUGCGUAGAUAUGCGGAGGAACACCGAUGGCGAAGGCAAUCCCCUGGGCCUGUACUGACGCUCAUGCACGAAAGCGUGGGGAGCAAACAGGAUUAGAUACCCCAGUAGUCCCUGUCUCUUAUAC
rnacentral:rRNA from 1 species